rnacentral:rRNA from 1 species
UACGUAGGGUGCAAGCGUUGUCCGGAAUUAUUGGGCGUAAAGAGCUCGUAGGCGGCUUGUCGCGUCGGCUGUGAAAACCUGGGGCUCAACCCCGGGCCUGCAGCCGAUACGGGCAAGCUAGAAUUCGGUAGGGGAGACUGGAAUUCCUGGUGUAGCGGUGAAAUGCGCAGAUAUCAGGAGGAACACCGGUGGCGAGGGCGGGUCUCUGGGCCGAAAUUGACGCUGAGGAGCGAAAGCGUGGGGAGCGAACAGG